AUGGGUCGGACGGGACGGACGGGGUGGAAGGGACAGACAGAACGGACGGGACGGACAGAACAGACGGGACAGACGGAACGGACAGAUUGGACAGAUCAGACGGGACGGACAGAACGGACGGGACAGACAGAACGGACGAGGCAGACGGGACAGACGGAUCGGACGGGACGGACAGAACGGACGGGACGGACAGAGCAGACAGAUCGGACGGGACGGACAGAACGGACGAGGCAGACGGGACAGACGGGAUCGGACGGGACGGACAGAUCGGACGGGACGGACAGAACGGACGGGACGGACAGAACAGACGGGACAGACAGAACAGACGGGACGGACAGAUCGGACGCGGCGGCCAGGAGGCAGCGGCGGCAGCAGCGGUGCUCGCAGCUGAGCAGAACCGGAUCCCGAACCGGAAGCCCGCAGGCGGCGCACAGCGAUGCGUCCAGCAGCUGCUGGAUGGGGGACGGCAGAACCGGAACGCGAACCGGAACCGGGGACGGGCUCGGGAUGGAUGUCGGGGAGAGGUUCGGAACCGGGACCGGGGAGGGCUCCGGGUUGGAUGUCGGGGAGAGGUUCGGAACCGGGACCGGGUCGGACUUCGGGACCGGGGAGGACUUCGGAACCGGGACAGACACCGGGGAGGACAUCGGAGUGGACGUCGAGGAGGACUUCGGAACCGGAACCGGGGACGACACCGGACUGGACGGAACCGGGACCGGAACUGAAAGCGGGGCGGACACCGGGAUGGACGUCGAGGAGGACUUCGGCACCGGGACCGGGGACGGAACCGGGACGGACAGCGGGGAGGACACCGGAGUGGACGUCGGGGAGGACUUCAGAACCGGGACAGAAACCGGAACCGCGGAGGGCUUCAGAACCGAGACGGACAUCGGAGUGGACUUCGGAGAGGACUUCGGUACCGGGACCGAGGAGGGCUUCGGAGCCGGGACCGGGGAAGACUUCAGAACCGGGACCGGCAGCGGAGCGGAUGGCGGGGAGGACUUCGGAAUCGGGACCGGCGCCGGGACCGGGGCGGGCUUCGGAACCGGUACGGACACCGGGCUGGACGUCGAGAAGGACUUCGGCACCGGGACCGAGGACGGAACCCGGACGAACAGCGGAGCGGACGCCGGGGAGGACUUCGGAACCGGAACCCGGGAAGACUUCGGGACCGGGGGGAGCUUCGGAUCCGGGACCGGCAGCGGAGCGGAUGUCGGGAAGGACGUCGGAAUCGGGACCGGGACCGGAACCGGGGCGGGCUUCGGCGCCGGGAUCGGGACCGGAGCGGAUGUCGGGUUGGACAUCGGAACCGGCACCGGAACCGGAGCGAAGUUCGGCACCGACAGCGAAACCGACGGCGGAGGGAAAAGCGGGGCGGGGAGACGGGAGGGACGCGGGUGGGGCUUAAGGACGGGGUGGGGACAGACGGACACAAACAAGGGUGGGGACACACGGACAGCAGCCGUGACAUCAGUGGGGACAGGCGGACGUAAACACGGGUGGGGACAGAGGGACGUCCGGGGGGACAGACGGACACCUGUGGGGGUGGGGACACGAGUGGGGACAGACGUGGGGACAGACGGACACGGACGCGGGUGGGGACAGAGGGACGUCAGUGAGAACAUUCAUAGGGACAGACGGACACAGAGACGGGUGGGGACAGAGGGACAUCCGAGGGGACAGACGGACACGGACAUGGGUGGGGAUGGGGACACGAGUGGGGACAGAAGUGGGGACAGACGGACACGGACACGGGUGGGGACAGAGGGACAUCCGUGGGGACAGAGGGACAUAAACACGGGUGGGGACAGAGGGACGUCCGUGGGGACAGACGGACAUGAGUGA
ensembl:lncRNA